UACGUAGGGGGCUAGCGUUGUCCGGAAUCAUUGGGCGUAAAGCGCGUGUAGGCGGUCCGGUAAGUCCGCUGUGAAAGUCGGGGGCUCAACCCUCGGAUGCCGGUGGAUACUGUCGGGCUUGAGUACGGAAGAGGCGAGUGGAAUUCCUGGUGUAGCGGUGAAAUGCGCAGAUAUCAGGAGGAACACCAAUAGCGAAGGCAGCUCGCUGGGACGGUAUUGACGCUAAGGCGCGAAAGCGUGGGGGAGCAAACA
rnacentral:rRNA from 1 species